rnacentral:rRNA from 1 species
GAUGAACGCUAGCGAUAGGCUUAACACAUGCAAGUCGAGGGACCGGCGCACGGGUGCGUAACGCGUAUGCAACUUUCCUCACAGAGGGGGAUAACCCGUCGAAAGACGGACUAAUACCGCGUACUGUGAGCUAGGCAUGCGUCCCAUUAGCUAGUUGGUGAGGUAACGGCCCACCAAGGCAACGAUGGGUAGGGGAGCUGAGAGGUUGAACCCCCACACUGGUACUGAGACACGGACCAGACUGCUACGGGAGGCAGCAGUGAGGAAUAUUGGUCAAUGGGCGAGGGCCUGAACCAGCCAAGUCGCGUGAAGGAUGACUGUCUAUGGAUUGUAAACUUCUUUUGUGGGGGAAUAUGUACCCUACGAAUAAGCAUCGGCUAACUCCGUGCCAGCAGCCGCGGUAAUUC